CUCUCAGUCGUUGCACCAAGAAAAUAUUCAACCAAGAUUACAUAUGAAGACUACAUUCUAUGACAGGUGCGUUGACCUAUACACAUCGUGUCGUUAUCACAGUUCAUAUUCAUCUGCUGCACAAUAAUUUUUUACAGAUCAGACGUGACCCGCCGAGUAAUUGGUCCACGUGCAGUUCGUUUUUUACAUUCCGUGGAAGCUUGGUUGUAGAACCUCGGACGGCACAUAGCUGGCGUCGAUCCUAGGACAGUCCAGGUAAGUGUGUCCGUCACAUUUCGAGAACAUUUCAUUCCCUGAAGUUCCAACCAAAAUUCUUCCACCCGUCGUGUUGUUUUCUGGACAGGCACUUUGUGUCCAUUUAAUCCAGUUAACAUCUUGAAGUUAGGUACUGUAGUAAUGUCACUAGACGAUGCACGAAUUAUGCACUUCACAUUUUCAGUUUUUUUGCUGAAUAUAGCUCACCUAAAUGUUCGUAGUUAUUAAUC